AGGUUCACUAUAGACUGUGAUUAAAAUGGGAACAGGGUGAGAAUCCCCGACAGUCCCGCUGCUGUGAUUUGUCCUUAUUGGUCACAAACAACAAUGUCACUGACUGCAUCUAAGCCAAUCGGGAAGACGUUUGUGUCCGGACAUUAAGUCAGAAGACCUGCCAUUGCGG
rnacentral:ncRNA from 1 species